AUUUAUUUGAGGAGGAAGGGCGAGAUCGGGGGAGGGAGAGAGAGAGAGAGAGAGCUCGAAGAAGGGGAAGAAAGAUGGAGAUGGAAGGAGAGGGGAGGGAGAAGGGACGGGAGUCGGCGGUGGGGGAGCUGGCGGCGGUGGCGGAGGAAGGGGAGGAGGAGAUGGAGGAGACGGUGGGUUCGAGCUUGACGAUGGAGCGGGUGGCCGCCGCAAAGCAGUUCAUUGAGAAUCACUACAAGAAUCAGAUGAAGAACAUACAGGAGAGGAAAGAAAGGCGUUGGUUCUUGGAGAGAAAAUUGGCUUCUUCACAAGUUUCCAAGGAGGAACAACUCAAUUUAUUGAAGGAUCUUGAGAGAAAGGAGACAGAAUAUAUGAGACUUAAAAGGCACAAGAUCUGUGUCGAUGAUUUUGAGCUGUUGACAAUAAUUGGAAGAGGUGCUUUUGGGGAGGUCAGGCUUUGCCGGGAGAAGUCAUCUUGCAAUAUUUAUGCCAUGAAGAAGUUGAAGAAAUCGGAAAUGGUUAGCAGGGGCCAGGUGGAACAUGUAAGAGCUGAAAGAAACUUGCUUGCUGAAGUUGCUAGCCAUUACAUUGUAAAACUAUACUAUUCAUUUCAAGAUGAUGAAUACCUUUACCUAAUCAUGGAAUAUCUUCCUGGAGGGGACAUGAUGACCCUACUUAUUAGAGAAGAUACCCUUACUGAAACUGUUGCUAGGUUUUAUAUUGCUCAGAGCGUGUUGGCGAUUGAAUCCAUUCAUAAACAUAAUUAUAUUCACAGGGACAUAAAGCCGGACAACCUUCUGUUGGACAAAAAUGGUCACAUGAAGCUGUCAGACUUUGGCUUGUGUAAGCCAAUUGAUUAUUCAAAGCUUUCAACAUUGAAGGAAGACGAACCCAUGCCUGAUGAAAAUAUUCGGGAAUCAAUGGAUAUAGAUGGGUUUUCAGAUAAAAAUAAUGAUAAUAUAUGGAAAAGCCCUCAAGAACAGCUACAACAUUGGCAAAUGAACAGAAGGAAGCUGGCAUUUUCUACAGUUGGAACACCAGACUAUAUUGCUCCUGAAGUAUUAUUGAAAAAAGGAUAUGGCAUGGAGUGUGAUUGGUGGUCAUUGGGUGCAAUAAUGUAUGAAAUGCUUGUCGGUUAUCCACCAUUCUAUUCUGAUGAUCCAAUAACUACUUGCCGAAAGAUUGUGCAUUGGCGAAAUCAACUCAAAUUUCCUGAAGAUUCAAGGUUGUCUCCAGAGGCAAAAGAUCUUAUUUGUAGAUUGUUAUGUGAUGUUGAGCACAGAUUUGGCAGUGGAGGGGCAGAUCAAAUAAAGGCUCAUCCUUGGUUCAAAGAUGUCGUUUGGGAUAAACUUUAUGAAAUGGAUGCGGCAUUUAAGCCUGAAGUUAAUGGCGAAUUAGAUACUCAGAACUUCUUGAAGUUCGAUGAAUUGGACCCCACUCCAUCAAGAACGGGAUCUGGGCCUUUAAGAAAGAAAUUGCUAAAUCCUCAAGAUUUGAGUUUUGUCGGAUAUACAUACAAGAACUUUGAUGCUGUCAAAGGGCUGAUCCAAUCUCAUGUUAGCUUGUGUACUUGUGGUGGUACCAAGAUUAUUUUGAAAGACAUUAGAAAGAUGUCCUAGAAGGGGAGCCUUGUGCAACGGUAAAGUUGCCUCUGUGUGACCUAGAGGAGCCUCGGAAAUAGCUUCUUGCAAAGCAAGGUGAUGGUGGAAGGAAAUCAACUGGAGGAAGUGGUGACGUGGACAUGGUUUGUUCAGGCAACACAAUGGCCCCUUAAGUCUGGCCGAUUCACCAGUGAAUUCAUCUAAGAUUAGUGCCCUACAAAUGUGGAUGUUGGACUUGCCUGCUCAUUUUUAGUCAGGUUUGUCCAAAUCCCAUGGUCCUGAUGAGCUACCGACUUCACAUUUAAUAGAACUAAACCAUAUGUAAGUUGUAUAGUAGUGUGUUAACGAUGUCUAUUAAAGGCAUAUGAGCUGUGGUUAUUAUGGUCUGGCACCGGAGUCAGCUAUGUGGGCGCAUUCAUCCUUGAUGCCUGGGGUUGGCAGAACAAACUAUUUCUACCCUUGUGGCAGUUUCUAAUUAUGAUGCAAAUUCAACUUUUUUGUGGACGCUACAGAUUUAGCAAUGUUUGAUGUGAGAGGAACUGUCUAAAUUGUGUUUCCUUGAACCAAUAUUGAUCAAUCAAUUUUGCCUAGUACAAGUUUUUGUUUA